ACCCUCUCUUCUUUAGUCUCUGAAAUUCUUCUCUGUUUCUAGCGUUUCCAGGUACUAUUCUAUCUCUCUCUAGAUCGUCGGAUUUCUCAUGGAUUCCUAAUUCUUCUUGCAUAUAUCCUCGGAUCUAAACCUUUAAAUUUAGUAUAUGAGUUGGAACUGGUUAUCGAUUUGGAUCGUGGUGGACAGGAGCCCUAGCAUUAGAGUACUGCCGGAAUAAUUCUCUACGAAAGAUUGGGUUAGGACAUACAAGGGUUGAUGAGUUUAGGAUGAUGGAUUUCGCUUUGGGAGGCUAUUUAUGGCUUUUUGGUGCGAGAAAUUGCUGAAUUGUGUCGCUUUUGGGUCUGCUGGGCUGGAGGUUGAUGGUUAUUCGCAUGGACAAAGUUAAAAUCGUGGAAAAUGCAAGGCUUGAAAAGGCGAGGAAGAUAGGCACCUGUGAUUCUGCGGAGUCUUCAACUGAUUGUUUCUCCAAGGAUGGCCGCAAGAUCAAUGUAGGGGACUGUGCUCUUUUCAAGCCGCCUCAGGAUUCUCCACCAUUCAUUGGAGUUAUCCGUUGUUUGACAUUCACUAAAGAAAACAAUUUGCAGUUGGGUGUGAAUUGGCUUUAUCGACCUGGUGAAGUGAAGCUUGGCAAGGGUUUCCUUCUGGAUGCCGCCCCAAACGAAGUCUUUUAUUCUUUUCAUAAGGAUGAGAUCCCUGCUGCAUCGUUAUUGCAUCCAUGUAAAGUUGCCUUCCUUCCUAAAGGUGUUGAUCUUCCUUCAGGGAUAUCAUCAUUUGUUUGUCGUCGAGUUUAUGAUGUUGCCUACAAUCGUUUAUGGUGGCUAACAGAUAAAGACUAUAUCGAUGAGCAACAGGAAGAGGUAAACCAGCUUCUACAUAAAACACAGAUAGAGAUGCAUGCAAAAAUGCAGCCCAGUAGUCGUUCCCCCAAACCACUUACUAUCCCGAUUUCAGUUUUGCAAGUAAAACCUGGUUCAGAUAUGCAGGCUUCUCCUGCCACCCCUUCAAAUGUUAAGGGUAAGAAAAGAGAACCAUCUGAUCGGCGUUCAGAACCAAUGAAAAGAGAACGCACUUCAAAGACGGAAGAUCUUGAUCCAUGUCAGUUUAGUCCUGAAGGUUUCCUAAAACUGGAGAUCUCAAAGAUAACAGAAAAAGGUGGGCUUAUUGAUUUGAAAGGUGUUGGGAGACUUGUAGAACUCAUGCAACUUGAUAGAGCCGAAAAGAAGGUAGAUUUGACUGGCCGUUCACGUCUUGCUUCUGUUGUAGCAGCUACAGAUAAGUUUGAUUGUCUCAGUGAGUUUGUGCAUCUUAAGGGCUUGUCUGUAUUGGAUGAGUGGUUACAAGAUAUCCACAAAGGGAAGAUUGGUGAUGGUAGCCCAAAGGAUUCUGAUAAAUCAGUGGAGGAUCUUCUCUUAAUAUUACUUCGAGCUCUUGAUAAGUUACCAGUGAACCUUCAGGCACUGAAGAAGUUUCAUGUUGGAAAAUCAGUCAAUAAUCUAAGAACACAUAAAAACAUGGAGAUUCAAAAGAAGGCAAGAGGUUUAGUUGACACUUGGAAGAAGCGUGUUGAGGCUGAAAUGAAUGCUAUUGAUUCAAAGUCUACUUCACCUAAGACAGUAGCCAAAUCUCUUUCUUCUGCUGGUCCAACUAAAACACCUUUGUUACCUGCAACAGGCAAUGCCCUGUCUAGAUUAGCAGUUGGGAGCUCUCCUACCCCUUCAGCCACUUUAAGGGAGGAGCGAAAUAGCACUUCAAGUCAAUCUCACAAUAAUGAUCAAUCUUGUUCAAACGACAAUGGCAAGGCAAUCCUUCCAGUUGGCAAGGAAGAUGGGAGUUCUACUGCUGCAUCAACUAAUGCCAACAGGAUAGCUGGUGCUUCUAGGCACAGAAAGUUCAUCAAUUGUCUCCCUGGUCCUGCUGGAUCACACAAAAAUUCACUUCCCAAAACUGUGGCUGCAGAAAAAGAUGUGUCUAGUGUUGUUGAAAGUAAUCACAAAUUGACUGUUAAGAUCCCUAAUAGAGGCUGUAGUCCUGCACACAGUGUCAAUGAAGGAUCUAUUGAUGAUCCUUCCACCAUGAACAGUAGAGCUUCUUCUCCUAUCCUCCAUGAUCUGUCUGACCGUAAUUUAAAGGAAAAACCUAGCCUUGUUGGAGCUAGUGCUUCUGAUGCUAAUGCCGAAUCGUGGCAAAGUAAUGAUUUCAAAGAGGUGCUUGUUGGGUCUGAAGAAGGUGAUGCAUCACCAGCUGGAAUUCCUGAAGCAGGAAAUCGUAAUACUUGUGAUGAUGUUGUCAAGAGGUUGGAAAUUUCAAAAGCUGCAUGUUCAGAAGGUGUCAAGAACUCUGAAGCCACUGCAUCUGUAUCAGUUGGUGAUGAGGUUGGAAUGAAUUUGCUUGCGAGUGUUGCAGCUGGGGAAGUAUUAGCAAAAUCUGACUUGAUUUCAUCUAGUUUUUCCCCUCAGAGAUGUGCACCGACAGUUGUGUACUCUUCUUUGGAAAAACUGGAUAUUAUGAAUCCUUUGAAUGAGAAUCUUCUUUCUAAGGUUUCUAGUCAUGCUAUUCAUGAUGCAAUUGUUGAUAGUGAGAAACAGGUUACAGCGAGUACCAAUAGUUCCUGGCCUAAAGAUGAAUCAGAUCAUCUAGCUAAGCAUGCAACUAUAGAAUCUUCUGGUGGAACUGUUUCAUCCAAAUCAGAACAGACAUAUGGAGUAGCUUGCAUUGGGGAUCUUCAGCAAGGUGGAGAACCAUGCAAUGAGGUGGAUGAAAAAUCAGGCGAUGUCAUGGGUUCCCUUUCUCUUCCUGCUUCCUCUGUCAAUCCAGAGACAACAUUGAAUGGCGUGGAAAGUAAGAAUGCGGUGAAGGUGCCAAGAGUUGUAAGCAAUCAUGAUGGAAGACCAAAUGGAAGCAGUUCCUUGUUCGCUGAUGCUAUGGCCAAUAUCCCUUCCACUAAUGGUGUUUUGAAUGAAAAUGUUGAAGGCCCAUCAUCAGGUAUGUCGUUAGAAAAUGGUAACAAAGACUCUGGAAAUGAAGGGUUGUAUCUUAGUACCCACUCAGAUAAGAAGUUGCGCUUAGGCACUACAUGUCUUGAAGGCAUUGGACAGAGUGAUGAUACAGAUCUUCAUCUGAAUGAUAUUGAUAAUGCAGAUGGUGGAAGACCUCAUGAUACAGAAGGCAAGAAUGACAUUAGUGUGAGUGGAAAAGGAUCUAUUGAUCAAUGUGACAACAUUGCCGCAGUUAGUGAAAAGCAGAGUGCUACUGAACUAAAGAUGAGUGGGAGGGAAACAAUGAUUAAAAAUGACAGUGUUUGUCAGCAUUCUAGUGAAGUCAUUCAUCAAAUUGAACCUGUUGGUGUUCCUGCACAAGAGUCGGAGCCAAUUACUAGAUCAGAUGGUCCAAACGAUAAUGCAGGCAGAAUAGAUGGAGGUGCAUAUCCUAUUGGAGGUUUUUCUUUUUCUGCUACCAAGGUGUUGCAUUCAAAUACGAAAAUGAAGUUUGAUCUCAAUGAAGGCGUUAUUGGAGAUGAUGCAAAGAGUAUAGAGGUCACCAACUUGUCAGACCGUGAAGGGCCUCCCCAUUCAGUUACGUCGCUUACUUUUUCUGUUUCUCCUGUCAACAGAAGUCUUCCUGCUUCUAUUACUGUAGCUUCAGCUGCAAAAGGACCAUUUGUAUAUUCAGAUGAUCUCUUAAAGAGUAAAGGAGAACCUGGAUGGAGAGGGUCAGCUGCCACAAGCGCAUUUCGACCUGCUGAACCCAGGAAAGUUCCAGAGACGCCAUUUGGUUCAAUUAAUGACCCUCUUCCUGAUCGUACUGCUGAUAAACAUAGUCGACCUGUGUUGGAUAUCGAUCUUAAUGUGGCAGAUGAAAGAAUCCUUGAAGAGCUUUCUACUCAGAGCUCUGUGGAGGAAUUGGUUUCUAUAUCCAACAAAAACUUGAAUUCUGAUUUCGCCAAUAUUGAGCUGAUCAGCACCGUAUCAGCUCUUUCUUCCAGCAGGCUUGAUCUUGAUCUUAAUGAAGUUGAUGAAUCUGGUGUUGUGGGGAAAUGUCCUGGAAGCAGCAUUCGUAGAACCAAGGUUUCUCCCCCAGCCAAAUCUUCUUCAUCUGUUGGAUUUCUAAAUUUUAAUGUCAAGAGAGACUUUGAUUUAAAUGACGGACCAAUUGCUGAUGAACCAAAUGAUGGAGCAUUGUUUUUCAGUCAUCAUAGAAGGAGCAACAUAAUAUCCCAGCAACCAACUUCAGAAUUUAGAGUGGCUAAUAUGGAUGUGCGAAACUCAUCAUGGUUUUCACCAGGGAAUGCUUUCUCAUGUGCAUCCACUAAUUACAUGGAUCCAUCAUCUGGAAACAAGAUCUUUCCUAUUGCUAAUUCACAGUUAUUCAGUUAUCCUUCUGCAGUAUCAUCCCAGUAUCACAGACCUUUUGUUGGUCUUCCAGAUGGAAGCAAUAGUGCUGUUGUUGACAACAUGAAAUGGAUUAGACAGGGUCUCGAUCUUAAUUCAGGUCUGGACAGUUUGGCAAUUGAGGCCAAGGAUGAUGCUUCAUCUCUCACAUCCAGGCAACGAUUUGUUGCCAGUCCGCAUGCACUAGCAGUAGAGCAAGAAAGGAUGUAUCAACAGAUGACAACUAAUGCAUUGAAGAGGAAAGAUCCUGAAGGAGGAUGGGACAAUGAGAGCUUUCGGUACAAGCAAGCAUCUUGGCAGUAGUGAGGAGAUUUGGUUCACAUACCCAUUUAGUUGCUCAAGCCUGGUGAGAAGGAGAUAUCUUUGGAAGUGUACAAUAAUUGGCGCAGUCGUGAAGUAACCACCAAAUAAACCUUUGGAGAUGAAGAAGUUGAGGUAUUGGUGCUGUAAGAAAGAAAUUGGAGUGACACAAACAAUAGUCCUUCAAUUAAUUAAAAUAAAGCUCUUUGUGUGGCAGAGGCUAACCAUUGGAAUUCAUCCUCUGACUGAAUUUUACAAGCUGAAGGGUUGUAAGAGUUGUUUAGUAUUUAUACAGUUAGUUUCUGACCCUGGUAUCUUUUUCAUGGAUCCAAGCUUCUUUGAUCUCUUUCUUCAUUGUAUAUAUUAUCGAAAGUCAGACAUCCAUACAUGGAUUUGCAUGAUUAACACCAAAUAGAUGGUGUUCGCACAUGUCUAUCCCAUGAAUUACUUACUGUAUACUGUGCAGAUCGCACCCUAUCCCAUGUAAUUCUUCUUGACACUUGAUAUUUUCUUUUCGAUCACCUCAAAGGAAAAGUACUAAUUUUUUUGCUC